rnacentral:rRNA from 1 species
GACGAACGCUGGCGGCGUGCCUAAUACAUGCAAGUCGAGCGAAUCAAUAGGAGCUUGCUCCUGUUGGUUAGCGGCGGACGGGUGAGUAACACGUGGGAAACCUGCCUGUAAGACUGGGAUAACACCGGGAAACCGGUGCUAAUACCGGAUAAUCCUUUUCCUCUCAUGAGGAAAAGCUGAAAGUCGGUUUCGGCUGACACUUACAGAUGGGCCCGCGGCGCAUUAGCUAGUGGGUGAGGUAACGGCUCACCAAGGCGACGAUGCGGAGCCGACCUGAGAGCGUGAUCGGCCACACUGGGACUGAGACACGGCCCAGACUCCUACGGGAGGCAGCAGUAGGUAAUCUUCCACAAUGGACGAAAGUCUGAUGGAGCAACGCCGCGUGAGCGAUGAAGGCCUUCGGGUCGUAAAGCUCUGUUGUUAGGGAAGAACAAGUACCGGAGUAACUGCCGGUACCUUGACGGUACCUAACCAGAAAGCCUCGGCUAACUACGUGCCAGCCGCCGCCGUAAUAC